GACGAACGCUGGCGGCGUGCUUAACACAUGCAAGUCGAACGGAAAGGCCCCUUUGGGGGUACUCGAGUGGCGAACGGGUGAGUAACACGUGAGUAACCUGCCCUUGACUUCGGGAUAACUUCAGGAAACUGGGGCUAAUACCGGAUAGGAAUCCUUGCUGCAUGGUGGGGGUUGGAAAGCUUCGGCGGUUUUGGAUGGACUCGCGGCUUAUCAGCUUGUUGGUGGGGUAGUGGCUUACCAAGGCUUUGACGGGUAGCCGGCCUGAGAGGGCGACCGGCCACAUUGGGACUGAGAUACGGCCCAGACUCCUACGGGAGGGAGCAGUGGGGAAUAUUGCACAAUGGGCGGAAGCCGGAUGCAGCAACGCCGCGUGCGGGAUGACGGCCUUCGGGUUGUAAACCGCUUUCAGCAGGGGCGAAGCUUGUGGUGACGGUACCUGCAGAAGAAGCACCGGCUAACUACGUG
rnacentral:rRNA from 1 species